GCAAAGCCGCGCACAAAAAUAACCGCCCGAAGGCCGGGGCGCCAAGUUCGUCCUGCGGAAAAAGGCCACAAAAAUGGGUGGGCUAUAGCCUUGGGGGGUGGGGCUGGCCAACUAUGUCCGCCGGACUCGGAAUGCCGCGAGACUUUGCGAGGGUCCUCCGUGUGCCAUAAAUAGGCCGCGGGCAAAGCCGGGCCCAAACAUAACCGCCCGAAGGCCGGGGCGCCAAGUUCGUCCAGCGGAAAAAGGCCACAAAAACGGGUGGGCUAUAGCCUUGGGGGGUGGGGCUAGCCAACUUCGUCCGCCGGACUUGGAAUGCCGUGAGACUUUGCGAGGGGCCUGCGUCUGCCAAAAAUAGGCCACGAGCAAAGCCGCGCCCAAAAAUAACCGCCCGAAGGCCGGGGCGCCAAGUUCGUCCGCCGGACUCGGAAUGCCGCGAGACUUUGCGAGGGGCCUCCGUGUGCCAAAAAUAGGCUGCGGGAACAGCUUCACCCAAAAAUAAGCGACCGAAGGCCGGCGCACCAAGUUCGUCCAGCGGAAAAAGGCCAAAAAAACGGGUGGGCUAAAGCAUUGGGGGGUGGGGCUGGCCAAGUUCGUCCGCCGGACUCGGAAUGGCGCGAGACUUUGCGAGUAGCCUCCGUGUGCCAAAAAUAGGCCGCGGGCACAGCUUCACCCAAAAAUAAGCGACCGAAGGCCGGGGCGCCAAGUUCGUCCAGCGGAAAAAGGCCAAAAAAACGGGUGGGCUAUAGCCUUGGGGGGUGGGGCUGGCCAAGUUCGUCCGCCGGACUCGGAUUGGCGUGAGACUUUGCGAGGGGCCUCC
rnacentral:lncRNA from 1 species